rnacentral:misc_RNA from 1 species
CAACCCCUCACGCCCCUCCGGGGGGCGUGGCGUUGGGGACCGGCCCCGCCCACGUCGGCGGCCGCCCCCGAAAUCCAGUGGCGGCCACGCCGCGGCUCCCUCUGCGCAGUAGCAAUCGCCUCGCAGCCUGGGACGCGGCGCGGCCACGCCUCGACGCAAAAAUCAUAUCGU